GGCCGGCCCUGGCGCACCUUUCCUCCCUCCUGCCACAUUGUGAGCGCUUCGCCUCCCACACGACCGCCGACUCCCGCUCCACCCCCGCCUCCCCUACUCCGCCCACUGCCGAGCGCCCAGAGUUUCUGAAAUGAUGCUGAAAUGGGAGUGAGUACAGAAAUGUAGAAACCAGCCAUCACAACACGUCUAAACAACUUGGAUGUGAAAACUCAAGUCCCACCUGACGGCACCAGGCUGAACAAUAUGCUGCAGUGGAGAGUGGCUGCAGAUGACCAGGGAGCGACCUGGAAGUGAUCAUCUGCUUGAAGUCCUAACUGGUGGCAGGGCUGAGCUUCAGCCUGCAAACAAGCAGACAGGAAGAAGCUGAGAGCUCCACUGAGCAACGUGUUGCCAUUCAGAGGGCCUGCGUGAUUCCUCUGUGCCAUAGAAUCCCCUGCAGCUUGGAGACCUCCUUCCUAUCGUCUUGAUAGUCCUGUGGAAGCUACGUUCUGCUCUGCAAGGCAUUGACUGCAGUCUUUUUCCUGGUCAGAUUGCUGUUCUUAACAUGUACUGAGCACCAAGAUGUCCCCAGCUUAUUGAGUGCGUUCCACUGUCAUAAGUGUUGCACCUCUGUUAGUGUGCUGAAUCCUUCCGACUAUACCUUUAGAGGUAGGUGUCCUCAUUUCACAGAUGAGGAAACAAAGACAGAGAGAAAUGAAGUAGGAAGUAAUACCAGUUCAGUUCAGUUCAGUUCAGUUGCUCAGUCGUGUCUGACUCUUUGCCACCCCAUGAAUCUCAGCACGCCAGGCCUCCCUGUCCAUCACAAACUCCCGGAGUUUGCUCAAACUCAUGCCCGUCGAGUCGGUGAUGUCAUCCAGCCAUCUCAUCCUCUGUCGUCCCCUUCUCCUCCUACCCCCCAUCCCUCCCAGCAUCAAGUGACAUAAGGUCACAUAAGUCUUUCAUGAUGGAGUCAGGAUUGAAUCCAAGAGGUCAGAUGCCUACUGCUGCUCUUUCAACCAUGGUGCUGUACUACCCAACACUCCAAUUACCUCACGCUUCUGCUCAGAAUUCUGGAAUGGCUCCUGUGAUAAGCAGAAUAAUAGCCUUCUAAAUAUGUCCACAUCCUAAACCUGGAAGCUGUGAAUAUAUUACCUUAUGUUGGUGAAACAGACUUUGCAGAUGGGAUUAAGUUAAGGAUCUUGAAAUGCAGACCUUAACCUGGAUUAUCCAGUAAAAGAAAGAAAGAAAGAAAGUGAAGUCACUCAGUUGUGUCUGACUCUUUGCGACCCCAUGGACACCAUGGGAUUUCCCAGGCAAGAAUACUCGAGUGGGUUGCCAUUUCCUUCUCCAGGGGAUCUUCCUGACCCAGGGAUUAAACCUGGGUCUCCUGCAUUGCUGGUAGACUCUUUACCAUCUGCCAUGGAAGCCCCAUUAUCCAGUGGGUCCAAUCUAAUCACAAAGAUCUUUAGAAGAGAACAAGAACAAGAGGCAAGAACAUUAGAGUCAGAGGAGAAGUGACCAGGAAGCGGAGGUCAGAAUGUUGUGAUCGCUGGCUUUGAAAAUGGGAGAGGGACAAGCGCCAAGGAAUGUUGGCAGCUUCUAGAAACUAGAAUAAGCAAAGAGCUUUCUCCUGGAGCCCCCAGAAGGAACACAGUCUGCUGACACCUUGACUUUGGCCCAGUGAAGCUCUUGACCUCCCGAACUGUUAGAUAAUAAAUCUGUGUGGUUUUAUGCUGCCAAGUUUGUGGUAAUUUGUUACAGCAGCAGUAGGAAACUAAUUCAGCUUCCAUUGUUUAAGGGGAAAUCUGAACUGCUUUGCAGGACAUUCAGGGGCCUCAUGCUAUCUUCCCCUCAUCUGACUGCCUGGCUAGCUUAUGCCCACCCCACCCCUGUGCCACCCUCACCAUUCUUUACAGAUUGAAUUGCUUCAUGAUCCUCAAUAGCCAUACCCUUCCUUAUGCCUUUGCCUGGAACACUCUCUCCUCACUUGUUUGUCUGGCAAACUCCUCACCCUUUAUGUCUCAGCUAUUAUAAAAUAAUACCUCAAAAAAAAAAAAAAACAAAAAAACAAAAAAAAAAAACAAUACCUCCUCUGUGAGGCUUAUCCUACUUCCCCCGAAGGAACAUGGGACUCCUUUCCUGUAUCUCAUGCCUCUGCUGUUUUUCAUGUUCACUCCCAUUAAAGCAGAUUGUAAGAACUCGUCUGUUCCCUUCCUGGGUUAUGAGCUAUUUGAGGGCAAGGACCUCUCUUUUCAGCUUUGAUCUCCCUUAGCACCUAGCAUGGUCCCCAGCACAUCAAAGAAGAGUCCCCAGAGAACAGAACUCAUAUCCUGACCUGUGCCUACACCCGUGAUGCAGCCCCUCCAACCCCAUUUCACCAUCAGUAACAAGCAUUUCAGGAUGUCAUCCCUUCCCUUCCCUGCUGAGAAAUAAUGACAAAGAAAAUCAGACAUGGAAGUGUUUCAAGUUUUCUUUAAAAAGUAGCACUCAACAAAGUUUUGUGAUAUUCCAGCUGUACCUACAGUAGAAAAUGCUUCCUGUCCAAGUCUCAAUUUUUUCAGCUGAGAAAUGAAUCAGAGACGAAGAGCUGUGGCCACUUUGCAUCCUAUUGUAUCCCCCGCAUCUACCCUGCUCUUGACUCGGGUGAAUCCUCUGAUGUUGGUUGGUAAAGGUCUUGGGGGAGGUUUUUCCACAUUCUUUGGAUUCAUCACUUCUCUCUGAUGUGCACGCCAAGGCUGGGUCUCUUGAGCGAAGGUUUCCCCACGUCACGUUCUGUGUAACUGAGUUCCAGAACACUGAGUCAGAUGAGCCUUCCAAGCCUCCAGACUCACCCGAGGGCUCUCCCCCAGACGCAUCAGAUACGGGGCUUCUCUCCAGUAGGAGUUCUCUGAUGUGUAAAAUGGUUGACAACGCCACCCAAAUGAAGGCUUAUUCACUUUUAUUGUUUUUAUUUUCCCAUGUGAAUUCUCUGAUGUUUAAUGAGAAGUAAAGGGCAAGUGGAGGUCUCAAUAAAGGCCUAUUAGAUACCCAGCUCUGGGCUGAGGGACUCUAAAAUGUAAGGAAUGUAGCCAGGACAUGGAAGCAACCUAGAGGUCCAUCAGCAGACGAAUGGAUAAGGAAGCUGUGGUACAUAUACACCAUGGAAUAUUACUCAGACAUUAAAAAGAAUUCAUUUGAAUCAGUUCUAAUGAGAUGGAUGAAACUGGAGCCCAUUAUACAGAGUGAAGUAAGCCAGAAAGAUAAAGACCAAUAUAGUAUACUAAUGCAUAUAUGUGGAAUUUAGAAAGAUGGUAACGAUAACCCUAUAUGCAAAACAGAAAAAGAGACACAGAUGUACAGAACAGACUUUCGGACUCUGUGGGAGAAGGCAAGGGUGGGGUGUUUCGAGAGAACAGCGUCGAAACAUGUAUAUUAUCAAGGGUGAAACAGAUC